rnacentral:rRNA from 1 species
UACGUAGGUGGCAAGCGUUGUCCGGAAUUAUUGGGCGUAAAGCGCGCGCAGGCGGUCCUUUAAGUCUGAUGUGAAAGCCCACGGCUCAACCGUGGAGGGGCAUUGGAAACUGGGGGACUUGAGUACAGAAGAGAAGAGUGGAAUUCCACGUGUAGCGGUGAAAUGCGUAGAGAUGUGGAGGAACACCAGUGGCGAAGGCGACUCUUUGGUCUGUAACUGACGCUGAGGCGCGAAAGCGUGGGGAGCAAACAGG